GGCAGGGAACUGAAGUCUGCAUGUUUGUGUGGCAAACUUGUUGCAAACUGACAGAGCAAACUCAUCAGUCCUGUUCUCUUUCUGUUUAGAAACUCUACCAAAUGCAAACUCAAUUGCAGGAAUGACUUCUCCAUGAUGAUGCAGAUCAAGGGAGGAAGAAAUGCUGACGAGCAAGGCGACACUCUUCCUCUGUGUGCCGCAUGGAUGGACAUGUGGGAUCCUCUUCAAGUCAUGCAGGCUGGCCUGGAACUCACAGUGUAGCUCAGUGCUGGUGUGAAUGAAGCUUGUGAUCGACCAGUCUCAUUCUCCCUGGUGCUUGGGUUCCAAGAACGCACUGACAACCAUGUUCACAGAUUCUUGGCCACCAUGAAGAGAACAGUGUCCUUCACUAUAUGUUCUUCUACCAUGAAGUGCCACCUCCAGGCAAGUGCAAUAGAAACUUGGCCAACUGAGGACUAAUACCUCUGAACCAUGAACCAAAAUAGACAUUUUAUUUUUUAGAGUUGCUCAAACAUUUUAUAGUAGCAAUAGGUAGCUAUCUAAUAUACCCACAGUUCCAAAGCAC